CCGGAUUUACUGGGUGUAAAGGGCGUGUAGGCGGAGAUGCAAGUUGGGAGUGAAAUCCCGGGGCUCAACCGCGGAAUUGCUUUCAAAACUGCAUCCCUUGAGUAUCGUAAAAGGCAAGCGGAAUUCCUAGUGUAGCGGUGAAAUGCGUAGAUAUUAGGAGGAACACCAGUGGCGAAAGCGGCUUGCUGGACGACAACUGACGCUAAGGCGCGAAAGCGUGGGGAGCAAACAGGAUUAGAUACCCUGGUAGUCCACGCUGUAAACGAUGAAUACUAGGUGUGGGAGGACUGACCCCUUCCGUGCCGCAGUUAACACAAUAAGUAUUCCACCUGGGGAGUACGACCGCAAGGUUGAAACUCAAAGGAAUUGACGGGGGCCCGCACAAGCAGUGGAUUAUGUGGUUUAAUUCGACGCAACGCGAAGAACCUUACCAGGACUUGACAUCCAACUAACGAAGUAGAGAUACAUUAAGUGCCCUUCGGGGAAAGUUGAGACGGGUGGUGCAUGGUUGUCGUCAGCUCGUGUCGUGAGAUGUUGGGUUCAGUCCCGCAACGAGCGCAUCACCUAUUGUUACUUGCUACGAAGAGAGCACUCUAGCGAGACUGCCGUAGACAAAACGGAGGAAGGCGGGGACGACCUCAAAUCAUCAUGCUACUUAUGUCGUGGGCUACACACGUCAUACAAUGUCUGUUAACAGAGGGUAUCCAAGCGGUGACACGGAGCAGAUCUCUAACAGCACUCUCAGUUCGGAUUGCAGGCUGAAACUCGCCUGCAUGAAGUUGUGAUUUGCUAGCAAUCACGAAUCAGA
rnacentral:rRNA from 1 species